rnacentral:pre_miRNA from 1 species
GUGGAAACAUUGCUGCACAAACUAGAUUAUGGAUACCAGUGUGCGGAAAUGCUUCUGCUA